rnacentral:rRNA from 1 species
AGAGUUUGAUCCUGGCUCAGAAUCAACGCUGGCGGCGCGCUUAACACAUGCAAGUCGCACGAGAAAGCGGGAGCAAUCCCGCAAGUACAGUGGCGUACGGGUGAGUAACACGUGGGUGAUCUACCCUUUAGUGGGGAAUAACGCUGGGAAACCGGCGCUAAUACCGCAUAAGCUCGAGAGAGGAAAGCAGCAAUGCGCUGAAGGAGGAGCCCGCGGCCGAUUAGCUAGUUGGUAGGGUAAAAGCCUACCAAGGCAGAGAUCGGUAGCCGGCCUGAGAGGGCACACGGCCACACUGGCACUGAAACACGGGCCAGACUCCUACGGGAGGCAGCAGUGGGGAAUCUUGCACAAUGGGGGAAACCCUGAUGCAGCGACGCCGCGUGAGCGAUGAAGCCCUUCGGGGUGUAAAGCUCUUUCGUCAGGGACGAUAAUGACGGUACCUGGAGAAGCAGCUGCGGCUAACUACAUGCCAGCAGCCGCGGUAAUACGUAGGCAGCGAGCGUUGUUCGGAGUUACUGGGCGUAAAGGGUGUGUAGGCGGUUUUCUAAGUUUGGUGUGAAAUCUCCCGGCUCAACCGGGAGGGUGCGCCGAAAACUGGGAGACUAGAGUGCGGGAUGGGAGAGUAGAAUUCCUGGUGUAGCGGUGAAAUGCGUAGAUAUCAGGAGGAAUACCGGUGGUGUAGACGGCUCUCUGGACCGCCACUGACGCUGAGACACGAAAGCGUGGGUAGCAAACAGGAUUAGAUACCCUGGUAGUCCACGCCCUAAACGAUGCAUAUUUGGUGUAGGUCAUUCAGUUGAUCUGUGCCGGAGCUAACGCGUUAAAUAUGCCGCCUGGGGAGUACAGUCGCAAGGCUGAAACUCAAAGGAAUUGACGGGGGCCCGCACAAGCGGUGGAGCAUGUGGUUCAAUUCGACGCAACGCGAAGAACCUUACCUGGGCUCGAACGGCUGGUUAACGGCAUUGGAAACAGUGCUACUUCUG